CCGAGAUGACUGCCUUAGAUAACUGCCUGAGAUGACUGCCUGAGAUGACUGCCCGAGAUGACUGCCCGAGAUGACUGUCAAUUUACAUCCUGUGGACAAGUGCUGCAAGGCCAACGCCAUCCAGAAUAUGGAGUCCUAAUCAUUUUGUUCUAUUAUUGCUAGCCAAGGAACUGCCAACGAUGACCUUCCCGGAGCAGAACAAAAGCUAUUCGGAGGCAUGUCAUUUAGUGUUAUCAGUUAACUGGACUUUGUGAGAGUUCUCUUGCAAAAUGUUUGCCAAGGUGGCGAUCGAAGGUGGACAGCAAGAUCGAAGCUCGGCAAGAUUGAAGAUUGUUCGAGGAAGAAGGAGUUCGCCGUUGACUAAAAGGUUUAUCUGAACAGCUAGUUGUCACGAUGAAGGUGACUCGCCCGGCCAAAUUCAAAAUGGCGAUGCCAAAGAAAACCAUCCACGUGGACCGUUCGCGGACCUUUCUGAGCAAGAUUGUUGU